CGGGACGGGGGAGUAAUGCUUGGGAAUCUAGCUUAUGAGGGGGAGUAACUACGGGAAACUGUAGCUAAUACCGCGUAAUAUCGAAAGAUUAAAGUGUGGGACCUUCGGGCCACAUGCCAUAAGAUGAGCCCAAGUGGGAUUAGGUAGUUGGUGAGGUAAAGGCUCACCAAGCCGACGAUCUCUAGCUGGUCUGAGAGGAUGACCAGCCACACUGGGACUGAGACACGGCCCAG
rnacentral:rRNA from 1 species